UGAUGGUGAUGAUGGUGAUGAUGGUGAUGAUGAUGGUGAUGAUGAUGAUGAUGGUGAUGAUGAUGACGAUUCAGGGAGCCAUAGUAAUUUACAAACACCCGUUGCCAAAUGACAUUGAAGAGGGUCUCAUCGAUAUUGGGGUGAGUUUUUCAUCACCAUCAUCAACGUCAUCAUCAUCGUUCCUA
rnacentral:pre_miRNA from 1 species